UACGGGGGGAGCAAGCGUUGUUCGGAAUUACUGGGCGUAAAGGGCGUGUAGGCGGUGCGGUAAGUCGGGCGUGAAAUCCCCGGGCUUAACCCGGGGCGGUCGUUCGAAACUGCCGUGCUAGAGUGCGGGAGAGGGAAGUGGAAUUCCCGGUGUAGCGGUGAAAUACGUAGAUAUCGGGAGGAACACCUGCGGCGAAGGCGGCUUCCUGGACCGCAACUGACGCUGAGGCGCGAAAGCUAGGGGAGCAAACAGG
rnacentral:rRNA from 1 species